UACGUAGGGGGCAAGCGUUGUCCGGAAUCAUUGGGCGUAAAGAGCGCGUAGGCGGCCCGAUAAGUCCGCUGUGAAAGUCAAGGGCUCAACCCUGGGAUGCGGAUGGAUACUGUCGAGCUCGAGUCCGGAAGAGGCGAGUGGAAUUCCUGGUGUAGCGGUGAAAUGCGCAGAUAUCAGGAGGAACACCAAUGGCGAAGGCAGCUCGCUGGGACGUGACUGACGCUGAGACGCGAAAGCGUGGGGAGCAAACAGG
rnacentral:rRNA from 1 species